ACCAGGUGCGGUUGCGCACACCUGUAGCCCCAGCUACUUAGGAGGCUGUGGCAGGAGGAUGGCUUGAGUACAGGAGCUCUGGGCUGUAGUGCACUAUGCUGAUCUGGUGUCUGCACCAAGUCUGGCAUCAAUACGGUGACCUCUUGGGAGCAGAUCAAAACUCCUGUGCUGAUCAGAAGUGGGAUCACGCCUGUGAAUAGCCACUAUACUCUAGUUUGGGCAACAUGGCAAGACUCUGUUUCC
rnacentral:SRP_RNA from 1 species